rnacentral:misc_RNA from 1 species
CGGGUAUAAAGAGCUGAUGCCGCCCGCACGCGCGGCCUGAUUUGGUGCCUGCCUCGCAUUGAUCCUGCCAGGCGGGUUCCGAUUGGAACCUCCACCUCAUGUCGGUGUUGUCUUGAUGGACCGCGGCGGAUGUACCCGCUGUCCGGCGGAAAAAGGCAUGGAACGGGCGGUUCCAGGCCUUGCCGCUGAAAUUGUUGCCGUUUCGGAGAGGCAGGGUUCCAAGUUCCCGAGCCAUUCACCGCUGCGGCGACUGCUUCGCCGGUUACGGCGUCCAAUCGAAAGGCCGAGAGUGAACCCGGUGAAAAGGACGGCGGG